GUGCGGCGAACACCCACCCCCAGCCCGGGCUACUUCCCACCUCCACGAUCGCGCGAGAAGUGCGCGGUAGCGAGCGGCAGUUCUCGCGAGACCCAUCACCAUGGCAGCGGCUGCAGCAAAAGCAGCCGGUGCUGAAGCUGAGCCUAGGCGGGGGCCUGUGUGGGGGCUGGAGGAUCGGAAGGCACGGCGUGUAGAGGGGGCUGUGGGCACUGAGGACUCCACGCUUAAGAAACUUCAGAAUUUUACAGCGAUUUUGAAUGUUUUAGAAAAACAUUGAACUUUAAAAGAGACUUCAGGGCUGGUGAGAUGGCUCAGUGGGUAAGAGCACUGGACUGCUCUUCCGAAGGUCCAGAGUUCAA
rnacentral:lncRNA from 1 species